rnacentral:rRNA from 1 species
GUGAGGAAUAUUGGUCAAUGGACGGAAGUCUGAACCAGCCAUGCCGCGUGCAGGAAUAAGGUCCUAUGGAUUGUAAACUGCUUUUAUUCGGGAAUAAACCUCUUUACGUGUAGGGAGCUGAAGGUACCGAAGGAAUAAGCACCGGCUAACUCUGUGCCAGCAGCCGCGGUAAUACGGAGGGUGCAAGCGUUAUCCGGAAUCAUUGGGUUUAAAGGGUCCGCAGGCGGGCUAUCAAGUCAGAGGUGAAAUCCCACAGCUUAACUGUGGAACUGCCUUUGAAACUGAUGGUCUUGAAUUAAGUGGGCGUUGGCGGAAUAUGACAUGUAGCGGUGAAAUGCAUAGAUAUGUCAUGGAACACCGAAAGCGAAGGCAGCUAACGAUACUUAUAUUGACGCUCAUGGACGAAAGCGUGGGUAGCGAACAGGAUUAGAAACCCCUGUAGUCC